CACAACCCUACUCCAUCGCCUCCUUCAGGAGGCCAUGGAGGUGGUGGUUACUAUCCCUCCCCUCCAUCUCAUGGUGGAAGCCCUCCAAGUACUCCUAGUACCCCCAGUACACCAUCCACCCCCUCCACACCUACUAUUGUAACCCCACCUACACCUCCUACAAUAGACCCUGGCACUCCAAGUACUCCAGGGGGUGGUUACUAUGGUGGAAGUCCUCCAAGUAUUCCUACCCCUAGUAUUACACCCCCUACCCCUUCUACACCUAUCAUUGAAACACCACCAACUACUCCAGUCGUUGAAACACCACCAACUACUCCUACCAUUGAUC
rnacentral:lncRNA from 1 species